rnacentral:rRNA from 1 species
AUUGAACGCUGGCGGCAUGCCCUACACAUGCAAGUCGAACGGCAGCACGGGAGCAAUCCUGGUGGCGAGUGGCGAACGGGUGAGUAAUGUAUCGGAACGUACCUUUCAGGGGGGGAUAACGUAGCGAAAGUUACGCUAAUACCGCAUAUUCUGUGUGCAGGAAAGCAGGGGAUCGCAAGACCUUGCGCUGAUUGAGCGGCCGAUAUCAGAUUAGCUAGUUGGUGAGGUAAAGGCUCACCAAGGCGACGAUCUGUAGCGGGUCUGAGAGUAUGAUCCGCCACACUGGAACUGAGACACGGUCCAGACUCCUACGGGAGGCAGCAGUGGGGAAUUUUGGACAAUGGGGGCAACCCUGAUCCAGCCAUGCCGCGUGAGUGAAGAAGGCCUCCGGGUUGUAAAGCUCUUUCGGCCGGGAAGAAAUCGCAUGGGUUAAUACCCUGUGCGGAUGACGGUACCGGCAUAAGAAGCACCGGCUAACUACGUGCCAGCAGCCGCGGUAAUACGUAGGGUGCGAGCGUUAAUCGGAAUUACUGGGCGUAAAGCGUGCGCAGGCGGUUUUGUAAGACAGGCGUGAAAUCCCCGGGCUCAACCUGGGAACUGCGCUUGUGACUGCAAGGCUAGAGUAUGGCAGAGGGGGGUGGAAUUCCACGUGUAGCAGUGAAAUGCGUAGAGAUGUGGAGGAACACCAAUGGCGAAGGCAGCCCCCUGGGCCAAUACUGACGCUCAUGCACGAAAGCGUGGGUAGCAAACAGGAUUAGAUACCCUGGUAGUCC